GUGCCUGUGAUGAUUCAUUUUAAAAAUGUUGGAAUUACCGACUGAUUUUUUUGUGAUGACAGAUCGACUAGCUGAGGCACUUU
rfam:Helianthus annuus linkage group 4, whole genome shotgun sequence.